rnacentral:rRNA from 1 species
UACGAAGGGGGCUAGCGUUGUUCGGAUUCACUGGGCGUAAAGCGCACGUAGGCGGAGCGUUAAGUCAGGGGUGAAAUCCUGGAGCUCAACUCCAGAACUGCCCUUGAUACUGGCGUGCUCGAGUGUGGGAGAGGUUGGUGGAACUCCGAGUGUAGAGGUGAAAUUCGUAGAUAUUCGGAAGAACACCAGUGGCGAAGGCGGCCAACUGGCCCAUUACUGACGCUGAGGUGCGAAAGCGUGGGGAGCAAACAGG